ACCACAUGUAGUCAAUUCCAUGUAAAACUGCAGAUUCAGCGAAAAUACGAAUAAGUGCAUAUGGUAUGACGUCGAAAGUAGUUGUACUAAAACAGUCGUGUGGUACAACCGUAUGGAAAAUGGACGAUGAAAUGCGAAGACAUUUAGUAUCUGAAAACUCAAGUGACACCUUUUGUCGAUUGUGUUUCUCCCAGAUCCACAAAUUACAUAAACUAUUUCCUCCCAAUGGUCAACCGCAUCAUUUGUUGGUAAAAAAGAUUGAAUUUUGCAUCGGAAUAUGUAUUACAUUUAGCAAAGACAGUAAUUCGUGCAUUUGUACCAAAUGUGUUGGAUUAAUAGAGGAAUUUUUUCGUUUUAAACAACUUUGCGGUGCCAACGAGCAAUGGACAAAAGAAUAUUUUUUCAAUCGCAUGAUAGGAGAAUCGCCGGAUACGUCAGAGGUUACUGUUGAGAACAACAAUGAAUCGGAUUUUAAAAGUUGUUCUCCUUUGCUCACAAUUGACACAGAACGUACAAAUUCAAGCUGUGAUUUCAACAGUAAAAUAUCGGAGCCUCAAUCGCUUGUGGAAUCACCGAGACGAAAUGAAAAUGUGGCCGAUCAAACAGACUGCAGAAGUGUUAACGAAGUAUCGAACAAUGUUAUCAAUUUAAGAGCACGCAAGUCCACAGCACGAUUAACAUCUACGGUAGUACAGAAACAAAUAAUUUUGCCUUCAAUAAAAAACGAAACCGAUUCCGAUACACUUGGAAACGAAACUGUCAAAGCGUCGACAUCUACUUUUAAAGCCAGCGAUACUUCCAGCAGAAUCAACAUCUCUGCAAAAGCAAAAGAGUUUCAACUCGUUCCAGGUGCCAAUAGUCGCUCAAAUAGGCUAUAUUUAGUCUAUCAAAAUUAUCGUUACAGUGUGAAUGGCAGUAAUAAUAAAGUUUGGAAAUGUACUCAUCAUGCUCCAAUUUGCUGUAAAGCAGUUGUGAUGUUAGAUAGAGGACGUGUGCUUGAACUUAACAACCAUGUACAUAAUCACCCACCACCCAAAAUAAAUUCACGAAAAAGAGAAGUGAAAUCUAAAAAUAACAAACGCAUUGGGUCAAAAUCAACUGACAACAUAAAAAUUUCGAUGGUUUUGAAGAAAGAGAAGCAAUUACCUAAAAGAGUUACCAAACAAAGUCAAACAUCGCUCAAACAACAAUCUAAUGAUUGGUUCAUUAAAGCAAAUCGGAAAACAGUAGAUGGAUUCACAUAUACAUUUUGCGGACUGGGAAAAAAUGGAGUCAUACGCUUAAAAUGCAUUACAAAAGGUUGUUCAGGAAAAUUAUACAUGUACACUCAUGGAAACUUGUUACGAGCCACCAAGGAGCACAAUCAUGCACCACAUGUAUCGGAUUGAUUAUUGGCGCUGACGACUCUGCUGAUAUUGGUUUGCUUUCUGCUUGCGAAAGUGAAAGAAAGAAAUAUUUUUGCUUGUGUUUUCACACAUAGAUUGACAGUUGCAUAUGAAAAUUCGCGUAGGAGCGAACAGUCUUAAAGAUCUCUUUUACUUGUGUCAGGGCCAAUUGUCAUAAACUCAAACACAUACUAUGUUCCCGCUAACACAAAUGUAUUCCCUGAUUUCUUUAGAGUAGUGAGGGGCGAAAGUGCACAUUGGUCUUUUAAAACAUACGAGCAAAAUUAACUGGCAACAUUGUAUGAAUUUGCAGCACUACAGAUCAUUGCACGGUGACGUCGCGAAUGACAAGAUGAAAGAGAUUCGACAGUGGUCGCGGGGUUGUUUACGUAGACUUGUGAAAUUUUUCGGCUCGUGUGAAAAUGCGGAAGGCAAACCAACCAAAAAGUGGGUACCAGAAACGCUGGUACCAGAAUCAAUGAGUGGUAGAUGGAAAAUGUAUGGAGUUUGACAGCCACAAGAGCCCCCUGGACUUGAUUGAUCAAAUAGUCUAAGAUUUGGUCUGCGGCUUAGAUGAUUGAAACCUAGAUAUCCAACUUAAACAACAAUACGAGCAACAAAAAGUGGCGCCCCUCCGAAAUGGCGAUUGGGUGAACUACAUUUCAUGAGCACACCUAGAAAAAUAUUAUGGUAUUUUCCAUCAUUUCAAGCAUAGUUUUUAGUUCCAAUCGAAGUAAAAAUCAGACAAGUGAACCAGCUAAAAAUUUUCGCUAGCAAAUCAAUCGGGAAAACCUGGUUGUGUACUGAAGUUCCAUGUAAAGCGAAAUUCUCGAGUUUUCGCAUCGAGUGAAGCGAAAAUCAGACGAAACUGUCAGAAUAAUAUAUGAAUGAAAUAGCUAACUUUGCAAUAAAUAAAAUCUUAUGCUCAGUAACUAAAAAUAUCUAAAUAGACUAACAAACCCAUCGCGGCACUGGUCAUGCUAAUAAUUUUGCCUUAGCCAUGUUUUACAUUUCAGUUGCAAAUUGUUGUUUCUGGUCUUUAUACACA